CGACUAAGACUCGUGAGGAACGGACACGCGGCCAAUAGCAAACGGGCAAAACGUGUCAUGCGAAUCGAAUUACGAAUCAACUCGUCAACCAAGUGUGAGUGCUUGAAUGCAAGUGAAUAACGUACAACCGGCUUGGACUCCAUCACUGAUUUGCUAACCUCAAUCCGUUUAUAAACCGUGUGCGUGUUGCCAACUCCCAAGACAUUCAUAAUAAAUGCAAACGAUCGUCGUUCUGGCCAAGUGCCAAAGUGAAAAUAACAAAUAACAAAGAACAAAAUAUGAAAAGGAAAACAACGAGUUGCGAGCGUGUAAAUCAUUGAGUGUCAGCAGAUUAAAAAUGCAGUCAAGUGAAGCACGUGUAAUACAAAAUGCUUUUAUGUAAAGCAAUGUAAAAAU